rnacentral:rRNA from 1 species
UACGAAGGGUGCAAGCGUUACUCGGAAUUACUGGGCGUAAAGCGUGCGUAGGUGGUUUGUUAAGUCUGCUGUGAAAGCCCCGGGCUCAACCUGGGAAUGGCAGUGGAUACUGGCAAGCUAGAGUGCGGUAGAGGGAUGUGGAAUUCCCGGUGUAGCGGUGAAAUGCGCAGAUAUCGGGAGGAACACCCGUAGCGAAGGCGGCACUCUGGGCCGGAACUGACGCUGAGGAGCGAAAGCGUGGGGAGCAAACAGG